GGCAGCAGUGGGGAAUAUUGCACAAUGGGCGCAAGCCUGAUGCAGCCAUGCCGCGUGUAUGAAGAAGGCCUUCGGGUUGUAAAGUACUUUCAGCAGUGAGGAAGGUGGGUAUGUUAAUAGCAUAUCAUUUGACGUUAGCUGCAGAAGAAGCACCGGCUAACUCCGUGCCAGCAGCCGCGGUAAUACGGAGGGUGCGAGCGUUAAUCGGAAUUACUGGGCGUAAAGCGCAUGCAGGUGGUUUGUUAAGUCAGAUGUGAAAGCCCGGGGCUCAACCUCGGAAUUGCAUUUGAAACUGGCAAACUAGAGUACUGUAGAGGGGGUAGAAUUUCAGGUGUAGCGGUGAAAUGCGUAGAGAUCUGAAGGAAUACCGGUGGCGAAGGCGGCCCCCUGGACAGAUACUGACACUCAGAUGCGAAAGCGUGGGGAGCAAACAGGAUUAGAUACCCUGGUAG
rnacentral:rRNA from 1 species